rnacentral:tRNA from 1 species
GGCGAGGUAGCUCAGGUGGUCAGAGCAUGCGGCUCAUAUCCGCAGUGUCGGAGGUUCAAGCCCUCUCCUCGCUACCA